rnacentral:rRNA from 1 species
UAUCUCUGUAGAGUCUGCAUAUCAAUAAGCGGAGGAAAAGAAACUAACAAGGAUUCCCUUAGUAACGGCGAGUGAAGCGGGAAGAGCUCAAAUUUGAAAUCUUCAAGGUUCUACCUUGACGAAUUGUAGUUUAAAGAAGUGUUUUCUGUUAGAUGAGUAGCAAAAGUUCCUUGGAAUGGGACAUCAUAGAGGGUGAGAAUCCCGUAUUUGGUUAUUCAUUCUAGCUUUGUGAUACACUUUCAAAGAGUCGGAUUGUUUGGAAAUGCAGUCCAAAAUGGGUGGUAAAUUUCAUCUAGAGCUAAAUAUUGGCGAGAGACCGAUAGCGAACAAGUACCGUGAGGGAAAGAUGAAAAGAACUUUGAAAAGAGAGUUAAACAGUACGUGAAAUUGUCAAAAGGGAAGCGUUUGACACCAGUGUUGUUUUUCCGAAAAUCAAUUACGAAUGGCUUGAUUUUGUGUUGUAUUGACCUUAUCAGCUUUCUUCACUUUUUUCGAGUCUUUCUUAAUGCACUUUUCGGUUAACAAGUCAACAUCAAUUUCUUUUGUUGUAAAAGAGUAUUCGGAAGGUGGCUUUCUUUUCGGAGAAAGUGUUUAUAGCCCUAUACUUCUACAAUCGGAGAGAUUGAGGUCUGCAGCGUAGAUCCUUCGGGGUUAGAUACAUUUGUGCUAAGUUGUAGCUUCUCAUAGACAACUUGUUGACUAUGUUUAGUCAUGCGGCUUACUCGCUUAUGCUAUUUUACCUACGCUUAGGAUGUUGACUGAUAUGUAGUCGUA